CCUUGUGCAACUUUUCAGAAAUCAACAAAUUUUUCAUUUGCAUUCUCCAAUAUGAAAAAUCAUUCUUCCCAUUGAAUUUUUCUAUCUCAUACUUCCCAAUCUUCACCAUUUCUCUAGUAGACAUGAUUUAUCCACUUGUUUAUCGAAAAUAAAUCACCAAAGUUCACUUGGAAAUUUUCACAAACACCUUGUGCACAACAAAGUUCAAGCAACUCACCACAAAAUCGAAGCUUAACCACCUUGAUUUAGGAUGUAGCUUAACCAUUUUCUUGUUCUUGAAGUGGUUUGGAAAUUUUUCACAUUGUCAACUUUGUUUGAUCUUUGGGCUAUCUUUGGGAGGUGUUUUCCCAACAGUUGUGUUGAACUAUGUUGUUUGAAAGCUUUGACUAUUAGAAGAGGGUCAUGUUUAUUUAUUUAAAUUUAGUUUUUAAUGAAGUCGUGAGGCUAGCAUGUAUGUAAAAUUAAUUGUGCGCGGCGCAUGAAGAAGGG
rnacentral:lncRNA from 1 species